rnacentral:rRNA from 1 species
UUCCCUCCUACGGGAGGCAGCAGUGGGGGAUAUUGCACAAUGGGGGGAACCCUGAUGCAGCGACGCCGCGUGAGUGAGGAAGUAUUUCGGUAUGUAAAGCUCUAUCAGCAGGGAAGAAAAUGACGGUACCUGACUAAGAAGCCCCGGCUAACUACGUGCCAGCAGCCGCGGUAAUACGUAGGGGGCAAGCGUUAUCCGGAUUUACUGGGUGUAAAGGGAGCGUAGACGGCAGCGCAAGUCUGGAGUGAAAUGCCGGGGCCCAACCCCGGAACUGCUUUGGAAACUGUGCAGCUCGAGUGCAGGAGAGGUAAGCGGAAUUCCUAGUGUAGCGGUGAAAUGCGUAGAUAUUAGGAGGAACACCAGUGGCGAAGGCGGCUUACUGGACUGUAACUGACGUUGAGGCUCGAAAGCGUGGGGAGCAAACAGGAUUAGAUACCCUAGUAAU